GGGGAAUAUUGGACAAUGGGCGAAAGCCUGAUCCAGCCAUGCCGCGUGAGUGAUGAAGGCCUUAGGGUUGUAAAGCUCUUUCAGUGGGGAAGAUAAUGACGGUACCCACAGAAGAAGCCCCGGCUAACUUCGUGCCAGCAGCCGCGGUAAUACGAAGGGGGCUAGCGUUGUUCGGAUUUACUGGGCGUAAAGCGCACGUAGGCGGAUUGUUAAGUCAGGGGUGAAAUCCUGGAGCUCAACUCCAGAACUGCCUCUGAUACUGGCAAUCUUGAGUCCGGAAGAGGUGAGUGGAACUCCUAGUGUAGAGGUGGAAUUCGUAGAUAUUAGGAAGAACACCAGUGGCGAAGGCGGCUCACUGGUCCGGUACUGACGCUGAGGUGCGAAAGCGUGGGGAGCAAAC
rnacentral:rRNA from 1 species